GGAAUGAGCUGGAAAUGGGAAAGUUGCAGUAACACAAUGCACAUCACUGCUUCUUGCUUGUGCACAUUGACAUGGCAGACGCUCAUGCCAGCCUACAAAUCAUUGCUGCCCAUACAGAGAGUACUGCAGAAGCUCUCUUGCAUGGGAUGGAUACAAUCUUAGUCAGCUAUGUUGGGUUCUACUGAGGUCCUGCAUGUCCUGGCUGUUCAUUUCAGUCUUUCUUCCUGCAUCAUUUACUUGUCCUCCAUACCAAGAGGCCCAUUGC